rnacentral:rRNA from 1 species
UACGUAGGGUGCGAGCGUUGUCCGGAAUUAUUGGGCGUAAAGAGCUCGUAGGCGGUUUGUCGCGUCGACUGUGAAAACCCGCAGCUCAACUGUGGGCUUGCAGCUGAUACGGGCGGGCUGGGAUUCGGUAGGGGAGACUGGAAUUCCUGGUGUAGCGGUGAAAUGCGCAGAUAUCAGGAGGAACACCGGUGGCGAAGGCGGGUCUCUGGGCCGAUACUGACGCUGAGGAGCGAAAGCGUGGGGAGCGAACAGG